rnacentral:rRNA from 1 species
GAUGAACGCUGGCGGCGUGCCUAACACAUGCAAGUCGAGCGAAGCACCUUACUUGAUUUCUUCGGGAUGAAAGUAUUGUGACUGAGUGGCGGACGGGUGAGUAACGCGUGGGUAACCUGCCUCAUACAGGGGGAUAACAGUUAGAAAUGACUGCUAAUACCGCAUAAGCGCACGGUAUCGCAUGAUACAGUGUGAAAAGCCGAGACGGUAUGAGAUGGACCCGCGUCUGAUUAGGUAGUUGGUGAGGUAACGGCCCACCAAGCCGACGAUCAGUAGCCGACCUGAGAGGGUGACCGGCCACAUUGGGACUGAGACACGGCCCAA